rnacentral:rRNA from 1 species
UACAGGGGGGGCCAGCGUUAUUCGGAAUUAUUGGGCGUAAAGGGCGCGUAGGCGGCCAUGCGUGUCUUCCGUGAAAUCCCUCGGCUUAACUGAGGACGUGCGGAAGAAACCGCAAGGCUCGAGUCCGGGAGAGGGGGGUGGAAUUCCCGGUGUAGCGGUGAAAUGCGCAGAUAUCGGGAGGAACACCUAUGGCGAAGGCAGCUCGCUGGGACGUUACUGACGCUGAGACGCGAAAGCGUGGGGAGCAAACAGG